UACAGAGGUGGCAAGCGUUGUUCGGAAUUACUGGGCGUAAAGGGCGCGUAGGCGGCCUACUAAGUCAGACGUGAAAUCCCCCGGCUUAACCUGGGAACUGCGUCUGAUACUGGAAGGCUUGAGUAUGGGAGAGGGAUGUAGAAUUCCAGGUGUAGCGGUGAAAUGCGUAGAUAUCCGGAGGAACCCCAGAGGCGAAGGCGGCGUCCUGGCUCGCAUCUGACGCUCAGACACGACAGCAUGGGGAGCGAACGGG
rnacentral:rRNA from 1 species